rnacentral:rRNA from 1 species
CCUACGGGCGGCAGCAGUGGGGAAUAUUGCACAAUGGGCGCAAGCCUGAUGCAGCGACGCCGCGUGAGGGAUGACGGCCUUCGGGUUGUAAACCUCUGUUAGCAUCGAAGAAGCGAAAGUGACGGUAGGUGCAGAGAAAGCGCCGGCUAACUACGUGCCAGCAGCCGCGGUAAUACGUAGGGCGCGAGCGUUGUCCGGAAUUAUUGGGCGUAAAGAGCUUGUAGGCGGUCGGUCGCGUCUGCUGUGAAAGGCUGGGGCUUAACCCUGGUUUUGCAGUGGGUACGGGCUAACUAGAGGGCAGUAGGGGAGACUGGAAUUCCUGGUGUAGCGGUGGAAUGCGCAGAUAUCAGGAGGAACACCGAUGGCGAAGGCAGGUCUCUGGGCUGUAACUGACGCUGAGAAGCGAAAGCAUGGGGAGCGAACAGGAUUAGAUACCCCAGUAGUC